UCCCCUCCAGAGAGACCUGAGCCUCUCCCUCCUCCCCUACAGAGACCUGAGCCUCUCCCUCCUCCCCUACAGAGACCUGAGCCUCUCCCUCCUCCCCUACAGAGAUCUGAGCCUCUCCCUCCUUCCCUACAGAGAGGUCUGAGCCUCCCCCAGUCCUCCAGCAGGAGAGGAGGAGAGACUCACACUACUACUACUACUACUACUACUGAGAACCAUCCCACACAAACCAAGCCAGAGAAAGAGAGCGACAGAGGAAACGAGGUCUCCCUCUCUCCCUUUGGCCUGCCUCCCUCUACGCCUCCCUCCCUCCACUCCUCAUUCCCUGCCUCCCUCCCUCCCUCCACUCCUCAUUCCCUGCCUCCCUCCACUCCUCGUCUCCCUCCCUGCCUCCCUCCACUCCUCCUUGUCUCCCUCCCUGUCUGCCUCCCUCCCUCCACUCCUCCCUCCCUCUACUCAUCCCUGUCUGCCUCCCUCCACUCCUCCUUGCCUCCCUCCCUCUACUCCUCCCUCCCUGUCUGCCUCUCUCCUUGUCUGCAUCCCUCCACUCCUCUCUCCUUGUCUGCAUCCCUCCACUCCUCUCUCCUUGUCUGCCUCCCUCCACUCCUCUCUCCUUGUCUGCCUCCCUCCUCGCCUCCCUCCACUCCUCCUUGUCUGCCUCCCUCCACUCCUCUCUCCUUGUCUGCCUCCCUCCACUCCUCUCUCCUUGUCUGCAUCCCUCCACUCCUCCCUCCACACCUCCCACUACUCCUCCCUCCACUCCUACCAACAAAAACAAUAAUGUCAUUGGGACAGCUUGGUCCACUGUCCAAAUGGAUGGUCCUUUUUUCUUUUGAAAUAGAAAAACAAAAUGAACAAACAGAAGUCCUUUGGUUGCCCAGUCGGUUCUUCUUCUUCUGUUUUUAAAGUUCAGUAGUGCUUAUUUGAGGAGGGAAACGCUCCAUGGUAAAAAGGGACCCGUUGAUGCAUUAAGGCUUUCACAGACGUGUGAUCGAGACGAGCUCCGCAUUCAGGAUGGAAGGACCUGUGAACCUGUUGGUUGUGUGAUUUUGGACCCUUGGUGGUUAAGGGAGGAGAGAGAGGGAGAGAGAGAGAGAGAGCAAGGCUUGCCCAUUCAACCCAUGAACCAUAGUGGCAGAGGCACCAGUUUAGUCUAGAAAUGCACAUUUGAUCCAUCCCUCCUUUCGGGAAACUUUAAAGCACCCACAGAGACUUGGGAUGGUUGGAACAAACCGUGCUCUAUAAUACCCUAUUGGAUAUAAGCAGUACGUAACCCACUGGUCUCGCCUUCGUUCCAUUGGUCGUCUGUGGAUAUUUCUGGAAUAAAGAGCAGCUUAGCCAGUCGUUGACUACAGUCCCCUCCCACCCCACCCCAACCACCUCCCUGUACACUAGAUGUAAGCCCAGGAAGAGGAGCCAGCUUACAUGUUACUGUAAAAUAAAUGUCCCCCAACAAUAUUGAUUUGGACAGUUCACCAAAUGCUUUGAGAAUGUUCUUUUCUCUCGUCAUUCUUUGUGAGUCAUUUCAGUUGUUCUUACUCUUUGCCUCGGCUGUUGUGUCACGUUUCAAGGACUCCAUCGAUGUUCUUUCUGGUCUGAGACACUCCUUGGAUUAAAAUCCGAACCACUAGUAAAUGGACUGUUACAGUCGGUAAGGUCUGGCCGUUAGCUGGACAACACACCACUUUUUUUUUUUUGUGUGUUUUUUUUUUUCAAAGCCAGAUGUUUGCAUCUGUUACCAGUCUCACUGUGGCUUUACUCAGUCUUUUAGUAUUUCUUAUCUUUUAAAAGCUGUAUUUUCUAUUUCUCGCGGAAUGAGUUUGACAGAAACGUACUGUUUUUGUUUUUGAAGGAGCCAGUUACCAAUGAGAGCCCUGUCUUUCUCUAGUCAGGUUACAAUGGCCAGCAUUGUGAUAGUAUUCAUUUGCCACUUUCGUUUUCUUAAUAAUGAACAAAAUUCGAUUUUUAAGUGUUUUAAUUACGUGUAUAAUAUGUGUUUUGAACUAAAUGGGAUGUUCUUGUAUCAAGAAGAACACACUUAAUAAUUAGGGCUCAAGUGGUCUUUUGUUUCACGCAUAAAGCUGAUAUGUGUGGUCUUCUAAACAGUCUGCUUUUUUUUGUUGGUAUUUUCAAAAACUAAUUAAUUUAAUAAAGUGUUCCUGAUGUUUUGCCUGCCCAUUGGCAUAGGGGGGGGGGGGGCUAUAACUAAUAACACCCCCAUCUCCUCAGUUUUCUCCAAACUCUUACACAAUUCCCUCCAAACCUUGUGGUUGUGUUCACCAUAUCAAAAAUGUUUUGCAACAGGGAACAACUGAAAGCUGUGUUCAGUUUAGUACCUUCCAGGUUUCAAAAACGUUCGCUCUCUGUUGAACACGACCCACAUUACACACUCCAAACUAUCAGGAAACACACACCUUCUGCGAUAGUGGGGUUUUUUUUCAAACACUUUAGUCUUUUUUGAUUGUUUUUGUCUUACUGCCUCAACUGUGCUACAACCAACUGUGAUCAAACCACUCAUUGAUACGACUUUUAGUUUGUUGUUGCUUGUCGUUCUUUUACCCACACAUGGUUGAUAUUGAUGGUAUUAAUAUUGAGAAUGGGUUUUUUUGUUUUGUUUUUUUGUACAACAGUAUUUGUCUUAAAUGGCAUCCUGGGUUGCUCCUUUUCGACAUAAGCUUUUUAAACUCUGCCUAGAUAAUCAUGUCAACUCUGGAGAACCUUGUUUUCUUUUCUAGCAUUCCUGGUACUGAUGUAUUCUAUCGCUGUAGUUUAAGCAUCACGUUUCAACAUAAUUUAGUUGAUCUUUCUAUGCUUGGCAGAGGUUGUUUCCUCAGAGCAGCUCUUGGUGCCCUUUGGGUGGAAAACAGCCCUUUUAUUUUCUCUUUGUCUAAUUGCUCAUUUAAGGCCUGGAGACUAUUCUGACCCUUCUCUCCCCACAAUAAUUGACCAAUAAUACAUUUCAGUGUUGUAUUUUUCAGAAAAUCUUUUUUUUUUUAAAUGGUCAAAUCAAUGUAAAAGAAAAAGAGAUGGAUUGUGUUAUUGCACUGCUUAUAUAUUGUGAUCAUGCUAGUAGCUUAGCUAGUUCAACUAGACCAAACGUCCGUUCAAAAACGAUGCUUGUAAAAUGCUCCCACGUUACAGCUUGUUUUGUUCUGCCUGCAUCAUGGUAACCUACACCUGUACUUCUACAUCUGAACUGUGGCGUGUAAAUAUCUUCAGAUGGUCAUGAUAAAAAAAAAUACAUUGUUAACUAAUAUGAUUUGUCUGUGUAUUAACAUUUUAAUGUGAGAUCAAGUUCAGUCCUGUAAUUGUUUUCAACAUGGGCUCCUUUUUUAAGACAGCCGCGGAUUCCUUCCAGCUAUGAGAUACUGUUCAACCAGCUGUCGCUCAGCUGGGAUUUGUAGAUGUUUAAAUGUUGUUUUGAUUUGCAACUCUUCUCUCCUGGAUGGAGUUUGGGUUAUUCUACUUUGAAUGAUUUGUCAUCCCACCAUUAAACAAAACUUAAGUUGA